UACGUAGGGUGCAGGCGUUAAUCGGAAUUACUGGGCGCAAAGCGUGCGCAGGCGGUCUGCUAAGAGAGGUGUGAAAUCCCCGGGCUUAACCUGGGAACUGCGCUUCUAACUGGCAGGCUAGAGUGUGGCAGAGGGGGGUGGAAUUCCACGUGUAGCAGUGAAAUGCGUAGAGAUGUGGAGGAAUACCGGUGGCGAAGGCGGCAUCCUGGACCGGCAUUGACGCUGAUGUGCGAAAGCCAGGGGAGCAAACGGG
rnacentral:rRNA from 1 species